GACGAAUUCCUAAGAACUCAUAGUACAAGGAAAAAAAAUUAUGACGAAGUCGUCAAAAAAGUAGAUGCUGGAAUAUGAGUAAAAAACUUGUGUUUGAUUGAUUGAUAGAUAUCUCAUUACAAUGCCCCAGGGUCUACAUUUAUACCCUAUGCAAAGAGCUACAACCAGACACAACUAGGACUCGAAUUCCAAAUUAAACAGAAUCCGUAUACAAAACAAAUUAAAUAACUAAGGAAAACAUAAAACUAUCCUCCCAUGACAAACUGGGACAUCACCACAGGCCAAUCGGCAACCUUCAGGUUAUUCUCUUGAAUCAUCGACAGACCCCUCAUCGUGGCCAUCGGCACAGGUUAAUACUGACC
rnacentral:lncRNA from 1 species